rnacentral:rRNA from 1 species
UUAAGCGACUAAGCGUACACGGUGGAUGCCCUGGCAGUCAGAGGCGAUGAAGGACGUGCUAAUCUGCGAAAAGCGUCGGUAAGGUGAUAUGAACCGUUAUAACCGGCGAUGUCCGAAUGGGGAAACCCAGUGUGAUUCGUCACACUAUCGUUAACUGAAUACAUAGGUUAACGAGGCGAACCGGGGGAACUGAAACAUCUAAGUACCCCGAGGAAAAGAAAUCAACCGAGAUUCCCCCAGUAGCGGCGAGCGAACGGGGAGCAGCCCAGAGUCUGAAUCAGCUUGUGUGUUAGUGGAACGGUCUGGAAAGUCCGACGGUACAGGGUGAUAGUCCCGUACACCAAAAUGCACAGGUUGUGAACUCGAAGAGUAGGGCGGGACACGUGGUAUCCUGUCUGAAUAUGGGGGGACCAUCCUCCAAGGCUAAAUACUCCUGACUGACCGAUAGUGAACCAGUACCGUGAGGGAAAGGCGAAAAGAACCCCGGCGAGGGGAGUGAAAAAGAACCUGAAACCGUGUACGUACAAGCAGUGGGAGCACCUUCGGGUGUGACUGCGUACCUUUUGUAUAAUGGGUCAGCGACUUAUAUUCUGUAGCAAGGUUAACCGUAUAGGGGAGCCGCAGGGAAACCGAGUCUUAACUGGGCGUUAAGUUGCAGGGUAUAGACCCGAAACCCGGUGAUCUAGCCAUGGGCAGGUUGAAGGUUGGGUAACACUAACUGGAGGACCGAACCGACUAAUGUUGAAAAAUUAGCGGAUGACUUGUGGCUGGGGGUGAAAGGCCAAUCAAACCGGGAGAUAGCUGGUUCUCCCCGAAAGCUAUUUAGGUAGCGCCUCGUGAAUUCAUCUUCGGGGGUAGAGCACUGUUUCGGCUAGGGGGUCAUCCCGACUUACCAACCCGAUGCAAACUACGAAUACCGAAGAAUGUUAUCACGGGAGACACACGGCGGGUGCUAACGUCCGUCGUGAAGAGGGAAACAACCCAGACCGCCAGCUAAGGUCCCAAAGUCAUGGUUAAGUGGGAAACGAUGUGGGAAGGCACAGACAGCCAGGAUGUUGGCUUAGAAGCAGCCAUCAUUUAAAGAAAGCGUAAUAGCUCACUGGUCGAGUCGGCCUGCGCGGAAGAUGUAACGGGGCUAAACCAUGCACCGAAGCUGCGGCAGCGACACUAUGUGUUGUUGGGUAGGGGAGCGUUCUGUAAGCCUGCGAAGGUGUGCUGUGAGGGUUGCUGGAGGUAUCAGAAGUGCGAAUGCUGACAUAAGUAACGAUAAAGCGGGUGAAAAGCCCGCUCGCCGGAAGACCAAGGGUUCCUGUCCAACGUUAAUCGGGGCAGGGUGAGUCGACCCCUAAGGCGAGGCCGAAAGGCGUAGUCGAUGGGAAACAGGUUAAUAUUCCUGUACUUGGUGUUACUGCGAAGGGGGGACGGAGAAGGCUAUGUUAGCCGGGCGACGGUUGUCCCGGUUUAAGCAUGUAGGCUGGUUAUCCAGGCAAAUCCGGAUAAUCAAGGCUGAGGUGUGAUGACGAGGCACUACGGUGCUGAAGUAACAAAUGCCCUGCUUCCAGGAAAAGCCUCUAAGCAUCAGGUAACAUCAAAUCGUACCCCAAACCGACACAGGUGGUCAGGUAGAGAAUACCAAGGCGCUUGAGAGAACUCGGGUGAAGGAACUAGGCAAAAUGGUGCCGUAACUUCGGGAGAAGGCACGCUGGUGUGUAGGUGAAGUCCCUGCGGAUGGAGCUGAGACCAGUCGAAGAUACCAGCUGGCUGCAACUGUUUAUUAAAAACACAGCACUGUGCAAACACGAAAGUGGACGUAUACGGUGUGACGCCUGCCCGGUGCCGGAAGGUUAAUUGAUGGGGUUAUCCGUAAGGAGAAGCUCUUGAUCGAAGCCCCGGUAAACGGCGGCCGUAACUAUAACGGUCCUAAGGUAGCGAAAUUCCUUGUCGGGUAAGUUCCGACCUGCACGAAUGGCGUAAUGAUGGCCAGGCUGUCUCCACCCGAGACUCAGUGAAAUUGAACUCGCUGUGAAGAUGCAGUGUACCCGCGGCAAGACGGAAAGACCCCGUGAACCUUUACUAUAGCUUGACACUGAACAUUGAGCCUUGAUGUGUAGGAUAGGUGGGAGGCUUUGAAGCGUGGACGCCAGUCUGCGUGGAGCCAACCUUGAAAUACCACCCUUUAAUGUUUGAUGUUCUAACGUUGGCCCCUUACCGGGGUUGCGGACAGUGUCUGGUGGGUAGUUUGACUGGGGCGGUCUCCUCCCAAAGCGUAACGGAGGAGCACGAAGGUUAGCUAAUCCUGGUCGGACAUCAGGAGGUUAGUGCAAUGGCAUAAGCUAGCUUGACUGCGAGCGUGACGGCGCGAGCAGGUGCGAAAGCAGGUCAUAGUGAUCCGGUGGUUCUGAAUGGAAGGGCCAUCGCUCAACGGAUAAAAGGUACUCCGGGGAUAACAGGCUGAUACCGCCCAAGAGUUCAUAUCGACGGCGGUGUUUGGCACCUCGAUGUCGGCUCAUCACAUCCUGGGGCUGAAGUAGGUCCCAAGGGUAUGGCUGUUCGCCAUUUAAAGUGGUACGCGAGCUGGGUUUAGAACGUCGUGAGACAGUUCGGUCCCUAUCUGCCGUGGGCGCUGGAGAAUUGAGGGGGGCUGCUCCUAGUACGAGAGGACCGGAGUGGACGCAUCACUGGUGUUCGGGUUGUCAUGCCAAUGGCACUGCCCGGUAGCUAAAUGCGGAAGAGAUAAGUGCUGAAAGCAUCUAAGCACGAAACUUGCCCCGAGAUGAGUUCUCCCUGAGACUUUAAGUCUCCUGAAGGAACGUUGAAGACGACGACGUUGAUAGGCCGGGUGUGUAAGCGCAGCGAUGCGUUGAGCUAACCGGUACUAAUGAACCGUGAGGCUUAACCUU